ACCGCAUCAGGUCUCCAAGGU
rnacentral:sRNA from 1 species